UCACAGAAGCUCUAACCCCUUCAGAGAUCAUAACCUAACCCCGCCGCUGGCAUGUCUUCAAACGACCUCAAAAACACACCACAACACCUUCUCUUCCUCCUCAUUUCCGAUGUGGGCUCAAUAUUCUUCAAAUCCCACCCAAGCAGCUCCAAUCUACAAAACUCGAAACUCAAUCUCCUCCGAACACGAUGGCACAUUCCCCAAUCCCUACCAAACUUACACCGUAGGUUCACCUCCACCCCCACAUCACAAAUCUACACCCCUUUUACUUCAAAUGUUCCUCAAACUGCUCGAAUAUUGAAUCUAAAUUUGGAACCUGAACGGGCAUCAUUUCUUCUCUGUUUCUCCACGGGUCUUAGGCAUAGUUUCAUUACGAGUUGAUAUUAUUUGACUGUUCUUGACAAAGAAUGGCUGAUUGGUAUCAUUUAGUGGUCGAAAUUGGGAAGGCAGUCAUGUCCGGUUCAAAUUUGGU
rnacentral:lncRNA from 1 species